UGGGGAAUAUUGCACAAUGGGCGCAAGCCUGAUGCAGCCAUGCCGCGUGUGUGAAGAAGGUCUUCGGGGUGUAAAGCACUUUCAGCGGGGAGGAAGGCGAUAAGGUUAAUAACCCCAUCGAUUGACGUUACCCGCAGAAGAAGCACCGGCUAACUCCGCGCCAGCAGCCGCGGUAAUACGGAGGGUGCAAGCGUUAAUCGGAAUUACUGGGCGUAAAGCGCACGCAGGCGGUCUGUCAAGUCGGAUGUGAAAUCCCCGGGCUCAACCUGGGAACUGCAUUCGAAACUGGCAGGCUAGAAUCUUGUAGAGGGGGGUAGAAUUCCAGGUGUAGCGGUGAAAGGCGUAGAGAUCUGGAGGAAUACCGGUGGCGAAGGCUGCCCCCUGGACAAAGACUGACGCUCAGGUGCGAAAGCGUGGGGAGCAAACGGG
rnacentral:rRNA from 1 species